ensembl:snRNA U2 U2 spliceosomal RNA
AUCAUUUCUUGACCUUCUGCCUAAGAUCAAGUGUAGUACCUGUUCUCAUCAGUUUACUAUCUGAUAUAUCCUCUAUCCCAGGACAAUAUAGUAAAUGGGUUUUUGGAGCUGAGAGAUGGAACAGGAGCUUGCUCUACACACUCCACGUAUCUACCUGGUACUGCAAGUGCCUCCAGGAACAGCACACCAAAA